ensembl:misc_RNA Metazoa_SRP Metazoan signal recognition particle RNA
GCCGGGCGUGGUAGCGUGUGCCUGUAAUCCCAGCUACUCGGGAGGCUGAGGCAGGAGAAUCACUUGAGCCCAGGAAGUGGAGGUUGCAGUGGGCCAAGAUUUUGAGAUUGGCCACUGUACUCCAGCCUGGGCGACAGAGUGAGACCCUGUCUCCA